rnacentral:rRNA from 1 species
GAUGAACGCUAGCGGCAAGCUUAAUACAUGCAAGUCGUGGGGCAGCAUGAAGUAGCAAUACUUUGAUGGCGACCGGCAAGCGGGUGCGGAACACGUACACAACCUUCCUUUUAGUGGGGAAUAGCCCAGAGAAAUUUGGAUUAAUACCCCGUAACAUAGCGAUGUGGCAUCACAUUGCUAUUAUAGCUUCGGCGCUAGAUGACGGGUGUGCGUAUGAUUAGAUAGUUGGCGAGGUAACGGCUCACCAAGUCUACGAUCAUUAGCUGAUGUGAGAGCAUGAUCAGCCACACGGGCACUGAGACACGGGCCCGACUCCUACGGGAGGCAGCAGUAAGGAAUAUUGGUCAAUGGACGAAAGUCUGAACCAGCCAUGCCGCGUGAAGGAUUAAGGUCCUCUGGAUUGUAAACUUCUUUUAUAUGGGACGAAAAAAGGUCUUUCUAGAUCACUUGACGGUACCAUAUGAAUAAGCACCGGCUAACUCCGUG